GAGUUCCAUGGCAUCCUGUCCGUAACACUAAUGGAAAGGGGAAUUGUUCAGAAUAAGGGUCACAAAAGGAGUCUUAUAAUUAUAAUCUGAGUUCCAUGGCAUCCUGUCCGUAACACUAAUGGAAAGGGGAAUUGUUCAGAAUAAGGGUCACAAAAGGAGUCUUAUAAUUAUAAUCAGAGUUCCAUGGCAUCCUGUUUGUAACGCCAAUGGAAAGGGGAAUUGUUCAGAAUAAGGGUCACAAAAGGAGUCUUAUAAUUGUAAUCAGAGUUCCAUGGCAUCCUGUUUGUAACGCCAAUGGAAAGGGCAAUUGUUAAGAAUCCUUUAAGGUUCACAAAAGAAGCCUUUAUAAUAAAUUGGAAUUCCAUAGCAUCCUGUUGGUAACACCAAUUGAAAGGGGAAUUGUUAAGAAUCCUUUAAGGUUCACAAAAGGAGCCUUGGAGUUCCAUGGCAUCUUCUUCGCAACACCAAUGGAAAGGGGAAUUGUUAAGAAUCCUUUAAGGUUCAUAAAAGGAGCCUUUAUAAUAAAUAGGAGUUCCAUGGCAUCCUGUUCGCAACGCCAAUGGAAAGGAGAAUUGUUAAGAAUCCUUUAAGAUUCACAAAAGGAGUCUUAUAAUUGAUUGGAGUUCAAUAGGAACGCCUUUCCAUUGACGUUGCAAACAAGAUGCCAUGGGUUUUAAGAUCAGGUGAGGUGGAAACUAAAGCAGAGCUUUUCAAUGUUCGCCAGUCCCGUAACAUGAUCCCUCGCCACUUCUCUACCCCUUAGAUUUCCAUGAUGAGAACCCUCAACCUGUCUCAGCUUUUCCAUGGUCUGGAACCCGGCGAGGACACCACAAGACCCAACAACACGAAUGACAACUUACAACCAUCGGAGGAGCCCGACGUGUCCACCCGGAGGAUCUCCUUUCCUCCCUCAAUGAACACUCCACCAAAUAGUUUGGCAUCAGUGCGACAUCCUGCAGGAUCUCAUGCCGAAAGCAUGGGAGGGCCUUCCAAGGAGAAGGAAGUGAUACCUGAAGAAGGGAGCUUGGACUCAAUCCACCAACCACCUCAGGAAGGAGACAAGGAGCAGGUUCUGUCUCACAUAUUCGCAGAGGUAGAUCCCAACUAUCAGCCUGGGGAAACGAAGGAGGCAACAAUCCCCCAACAAGUACAAACACAGGUAUUUAUUUAUCAUGUCGGAGCUGCUUAG
rnacentral:lncRNA from 1 species